UUUUUUUUUUUUCAUGUAAUAGUACACCUUGGAUAGGGUCACACAGGAGCACAUAUAGAUUCAACUCAUUCUUUUUUUUUUAAGAAGGAAAGAUUGUUCCAUUAAUGGGUAAACCAGAAAUUACUUAACCAGACCCCUGCUGAUGGUCAUUUAUAGCCUUGGUGGGGAUUUUUUGCUAUGACAACAGAGCUGCCAUGAGUACCCCAUGCACACACUGACAGCAUGACCAGGAUCAGCACAUACCCUAGCGUGUGUUCUUAGACCUGAAACUGCUGGGCAGAAGCCACGUGCAUUUAAAGUCUUGAAAGAUGUAGUUAAACUGUUGUUCAGAGAGGUCACUAGCAACCACCCCACAUACCUUCUCCCAUGAACUGUGUGGAACUAUCCCUUUUCCAUAGCUCUAGUCAACCUGGAAAAGAGAAAACUUCUUAAUAUUUGCCAAUCUGAGAAAUGAAAAGUGGAAUCUUGCUACUAUUUUGAUCCGUAUUCUCUUUUAUUAUGACUAACAGUGAAAGUCUUUUCAUACGUCAAUUGGCAAUUACUGUGCAGUGUUGUUUUUCUUUAGAAGGUAUGGGGGGCAAUAUGAGGUAGGAGUUCCUUUAUUAACUGCAUGUUUAUAUAGCACUUGCCCCUUUUUUUUUUUUUUUUUUUNUCCCCUGGGAACCUCCAUAUGCCACGAGCAUGACCCAAAAAUUAAAAAAUAAAAAAAAUAUUCUUGUGCCUCCUUCAUGGAGUUAUUAUUAUCACAAGGGUUCAAUUCAAUAAAAUGAAGGUACGUGGUCUAGAAUCAGGUCCAGUCCCCCAUGAUGCGGCAUCAUGGGAAUUACUCACAAAGACACAGAAAAAGACAAAAAUCCACUGAACAGCUGUUAGUAACUCACAAAGACUUGCAAAUGCACUCCUCAGCAUCAGCCCCCAUCCUUCUCCACCAGUCAGGAGGCUGGUACCAUCUCCUUGAGCUGUGACCACACAAGCCAAAUUAUAUCUUCCCAUUAACGCUCCCCCCUUCUCCCCACAAAACAAGCUCCCUCGUAAGAGUUGAGAGCUGCCCCCUGCAAAGCCACCUACCACCCUACCACACAUCAGGUGUCUGGAACCUGCAUUUUUAUUUUGUUACCUUCCAGAGGGCACCACCAGUAAAGUUUGCAAAAAGGGCCCCAGGUGUAGGGGGCAUGCAGAGAAAUCUGUCCAGGGUUGGUGCUGCUGGCGCUCCCUAAUCGAGCUUCAUUGUUUUCGUUCUCUAAUUAAGUGUCUCUGCUCACACUGCCAGCUCACCUCCGAGAAACCCAGCUACACGGAGCAGAUAGGUAAAAGCUGACAAUUAAAUUGUCUUAUCAAAUUUUCACAGCUUAAGUUGUUCAA
rnacentral:lncRNA from 1 species